CACACACACAGCACACUCUUUCUGCUACACAUCCAAGACCAUCCACAGGGUCCACACAUGUACCCGGUCACACACGGUUAUGGAUGCAAAACCCGUGUUACGCCUCUCUCUCUCACACACACACUCUCUCUCUCACACACACACCCUACCUCACAGAGCCAGCGAACACACCGGCGGUCUCACAAGUACUUACGUACACCGGCGCCGGGCACUAGCCGCAACCCUAGCGGUCCCACGCCGGAGGCAUGUCCGACACAACCCGCCAGCCCACCUACAGCCUGAGCCGCCGCGCAGCCCAUCCCUGAGCUUCUCCCCUCACCAGACGGAUUGUUCAUUAAGAGAAGAGAAAAGAGGUGUUCAUCUGAAUCACUCAAGGUUCCAUGGACCUCAUGAAUAGUGAAGAACAGCUUGGUCAUUUCUGAGAGUAUAGCUUUUCAAGACCUUCCUCAAUCCCAAUUAAAGUGCCACCUGCAGAGCAUGAGAAUGACGCUGCAGCCUAACCUAGCCAGCGCAUUACUGGCAUUUCUUUGAAUCUUCUGUCACCAUUAAUUUAGUAGAUGUAAAAUGAUGACUUAAUGUUGCUUUAGCUUCAU